rnacentral:lncRNA from 1 species
GCCCAAACCAAGGCCCUCAGUUAUUUAUUUUUAAUAAAAAGGCCUUGUGUUCAGUACAUUAGCACAUGGAAGUUGAUCUCCUAACAGGUAGGUUGGGGCUGGGGGCUCACACAUCGUGUUGGUGGGCGUCUGGGCAAGUGACAGUUUGGAAACUGCUGGCUUUAGCAACCUUGAACCUCUGGUUUUGAAUUUUCAAAGUAAAGCCCCAGUUCUGAAACCGCUUUGCGAACACACACCAGACACGAACGCCACACCCACAAACCCAGGGAAACAACCCAACCCCGUCUUGCCGAAGCCGCCACAGCCAUCCCGGGGGACCCAGCCCUAGCCUCCUGGCUGCGCUGCGGGCAGGACAGCCGUCAUGUUCCAGCCCUCGCGUGUGUAUUAAGCCCUUUCGUAAGCUUUGGAGCACAAAUGGGACUGCAGCACCCAGAAGAACUGGGAGAAGAAGGUCAGCCUGUGAGUUUGUUUCAUGUCCCCUCUGGUCACUGAUGUGAGCCAGGACACAGCCAGGGCACUUGGGAGUGAGUGUGCACGCAGGUGUGUCCCACUGCUUUUGGGGAGAUAAGGGUGC